rnacentral:rRNA from 1 species
GACGAACGCUGGCGGCGUGCUUAACACAUGCAAGUCGAGCGGUAAGGCCCUUUCGGGGGUACACGAGCGGCGAACGGGUGAGUAACACGUGGGUGACCUGCCCUCAGCUCUGGGAUAAGCCUGGGAAACUGGGUCUAAUACUGGAUAUGACUCCACGGUGCAUGUCGUGGGGUGGAAAGCCUUGUGCGGCUGAGGAUGGGCCCGCGGCCUAUCAGCUUGUUGGUGGGGGGAU